AAGUAAAAAAUUACAAGUAGACUACUCCGAGAAAUGCGAAGAAAUUGCAGAGAAAAUAAAAGUGGUCUUCUGUUCUCGAAAAAAAGAUAUCUUUUCGGGACAUUAUUUGCCUAUUUAUAGAUCGCCUAUGUUGAUCAGUUAUUUUUCAUCCAUGAUCAGUCACUACUCCUAUUUUUCAGAGUCACUUCCAGCCGAUCGGAACUACUUGUAACCACUUGCGGUUACUGUAAUUCCCCUUAGUUACAUGCGGUGGUUGCUCAAAUUCCUUCCGAUGCUCCCGGUGCA
rnacentral:lncRNA from 1 species